ACAGCAGCCGCCGCGGGAAUACAGAGGGUGCGAGCGUUAAUCGGAUUUACUGGGCGUAAAGCGUGCGUAGGCGGCUUCUUAAGUCGGAUGUGAAAUCCCUGAGCUUAACUUAGGAAUUGCAUUCGAUACUGGGAAGCUAGAGUAUGGGAGAGGAUGGUAGAAUUCCAGGUGUAGCGGUGAAAUGCGUAGAGAUCUGGAGGAAUACUGAUGGCGAAGGCAGCCAUCUGGCCUAAUACUGACGCUGAGGUACGAAAGCAUGGGGAGCAAACAGGAUUAGAUACCCCAGUAGUCCCUGUCUCUUAUAU
rnacentral:rRNA from 1 species